rnacentral:lncRNA from 1 species
GUUUGUCUCUGUCUCCCUACCCAAAUCUCAUGUUGAAUUGCAGUUCUCAAUGUUGGGGGAAGGACCUGGUGGCAGAGAUGAGGUCUCCCUUUGUUGCCCAGCUGGUCUGAAAUUCCUGGUUUCAAGUGACCCUCACACGUCAGCCUCCUAAAGAGGUGAAGUUAUAAGCAUGAACCAUUGUGGCCAGCGGUGGGACUGAUCCUUACAAAGGUCUUGUGUGCUUCUUAUCUCUCUUGGAACCACGUCAUGGCCAUGAAAACAAGCUCAAGCUAGCCUACUGAAGGAUACAAGAACCAUAGAGGAAAGCUGAGUCACUUUAGCUGAGGCCAUAAUAGACUGAUCAGCCCCCUGCCAACAACCAGUGAUGGCAGAUGCUUGAUCGGGCCCCAGAAAGUUCAUCAGAAAUGAGUGAGUCAAGGUCACAAUAACUGAUCAGCUGAACCAUGGACUCAGGAAAAAUUUUUUUUAAAGGUAGUUGUUUGUUUUGUUUUUUAACAUACCAGUAGCUACAUAGCCCAUAUUGCAAAUGACAUCAAAUUGGACAGAAUGGUUACUGGGUUGUAAUUUUGGAAUGACGGAUUCUAAGUAUCAAGAAGAAUCUGA